rnacentral:rRNA from 1 species
UACGUAGGGCGCAAGCGUUGUCCGGAAUUAUUGGGCGUAAAGGGCGCGUAGGCGGCUCUGCACGUCCGUUGUGAAAUCGCCCGGCUCAACUGGGCGGGGUCAGCGGAUACGGCGGAGCUUGAGCAAGCUAGGGGGCAAUGGAAUUCCCGGUGUAGCGGUGGAAUGCGUAGAGAUCCGGAAGAACACCGGUGGCGAAGGCGGCCCGCUGGGCAACUGCUGACACUGAGGCGCGACAGCGUGGGGAGCAAACAGG